AGUGAACGCUGGCGGUAGGCCUAACACAUGCAAGUCGAACGGCAGCACAGUAAGAGCUUGCUCUUACGGGUGGCGAGUGGCGGACGGGUGAGGAAUACAUCGGAAUCUACUUUUUCGUGGGGGAUAACGUAGGGAAACUUACGCUAAUACCGCAUACGACCUACGGGUGAAAGCAGGGGAUCUUCGGACCUUGCGCGAUUGAAUGAGCCGAUGUCGGAUUAGCUAGUUGGCGGGGUAAAGGCCCACCAAGGCGACGAUCCGUAGCUGGUCUGAGAGGAUGAUCAGCAACACUGGAACUGAGAAACGGUCAAGACUCCUACGGGAGGCAGCAGUGGGGAAUAUUGGACAAUGGGCGCAAGCCUGAUCCAGACAUACCGCGUGGGUGAAGAAGGCCUUCGGGUUGUAAAGAACUUUUGUUGGGAAAGAAAAGCAGCAGGUUAAUACCCCGCUGUUCUGACGGUACCCAAAGAAUAAGCACCGGCUAACUUCGUG
rnacentral:rRNA from 1 species